CGGGGUGCAGCAGGCGCGAAAACUUUACAAUGCCGGCAACGGCGAUAAGGGAACCUCGAGUGCCAGGUUACAAAUCUGGCUGUCGCGAUGCCUAAAAAGCAUUGCAUAGCAAGGGCCGGGCAAGACCGGUGCCAGCCGCCGCGGUAACACCGGCGGCUCGAGUGGUAACCGUUAUUAUUGGGUCUAAAGGGUCUGUAGCCGGCCGGAUAAGUCUCUUGGGAAAUCCGGCAGCUCAACUGUCGGGCUUUCAGGAGAUACUGUCUGGCUCGAGGCCGGGAGAGGUGAGAGGUACUUCAGGGGUAGGGGUGAAAUCUUGUAAUCCUUGAAGGACCACCAGUGGCGAAGGCGUCUCACCAGAACGGACCUGACGGCAAGGGACGAAAGCUAGGGGCACGAACCGGAUUAGAUACCCGGGUAGUCCUAGCCGUAAACGAUACUCGCUAGGUGUCGGCCACGGUGUGACCGUGGUCGGUGCCGUAGGGAAGCCGUGAAGCGAGCCACCUGGGAAGUACGGCCGCAAGGCUGAAACUUAAAGGAAUUGGCGGGGGAGCAC
rnacentral:rRNA from 1 species